rnacentral:misc_RNA from 1 species
GAUGAAGAACGCAGCGAACUGCGAUAAGUAAUGUGAAUUGCAGAAUUCAGUGAAUCAUCGAGUCUUUGAACGCACAUUGCGCCCAUUAGUAUUCUAGUGGGCAUGCCUGUUCGAGCGUCAUUAAGUCCACUUAAGCCCUGCUUAGUGUUGGGAGACUGCUCCAGCGGUGCUACCCUGUAGCUACCCUGCAGCUCCUCAAAGACAGCGGCGGAGUUGUGGUAUCCUCUGAGCUUAGUAACUUGUUCUAGCUUUCGAGUACACCACUUCCCCUGCCGUAAAACCCUUAAUUUUUAAUGGUUGACCUCGGAUCAGGUAGGAAUACCCGCUGAACUUAAGCAUAUCAAUAAGCGGAGGA